rnacentral:rRNA from 1 species
UUUCCGGUUGAUCCUGCCGGACCUGACUGCUAUCGGAUUGAUACUAAGCCAUGCGAGUCUUUGCAGUAAUGCAAGGCAUACGGCUCAGUAACACGUAGUCAACUUACCCUAUGGACGAGGAUAAUCUCGGGAAACUGAGCAUAAUACUCGAUAGAUCAUAAUGCCUGGAAUGGUUUAUGGUUGAAAUGAUUCGUCGCCAUAGGAUGGGACUGCGGCCUAUCAGCUUGUUGGUGAGGUAAUGGCCCACCAAGGCGAUUACAGGUACGGGCUCUGAGAGGAGAAGCCCGGAGAUGGGUACUGAGACAAGGACCCAGGCCCUAUGGGGCGCAGCAGGCGAGAAAACUUUGCAAUGUGCGAAAGCACGACAAGGUUAAUCCGAGUGAUUUCUGCUAAAGAAAUCUUUUGCAAGUCAUAAAACCACUAGUGAAUAAGGGGUGGGCAAGUUCUGGUGUCAGCCGCCGCGGUAAAACCAGCACCUCAAGUGGUCAGGAGGAUUAUUGGGCCUAAAGCAUCCGUAGCCGGCUUUGUAAGUUUUCGGUUAAAUCCAUGUGCUCAACGCAUGGGCUGCCGAAAAUACUGCAUAGCUAGGGAGUGGGAGAGGUAGACGGUACUCGGUAGGAAGGGGUAAAAUCCUUUGAUCUAUCGAUGACCACCUGUGGCGAAGGCGGUCUACCAGAACACGUUCGACGGUGAGGGAUGAAAGCUGGGGGAGCAAACCGGAUUAGAUACCCGGGUAGUCCCAGCUGUAAACGAUGCAGACUCGAUGAUGCAUUGGCAUAUAGCCAGUGCAGUGUCGCAGGGAAGCCGUUAAGUCUGCCGCCUGGGAAGUACGUACGCAAGUAUGAAACUUAAAGGAAUUGGCGGGGGAGCACCACAAGGGGUGAAGCCUGCGGUUCAAUUGGAGUCAACGCCGGGA